AUUGAACGCUAGCGGCAGGCCUAACACAUGCAAGUCGAACGGAGUGGCGGACGGGUGAGUAAUGUCUAGGAAUCUGCCUGGUAGUGGGGGAUAACGUCCGGAAACGGGCGCUAAUACCGCAUACUAUCAGAUGAGCCUAGGUCGGAUUAGCUAGUUGGUGGGGUAAAGGCUUACCAAGGCGACGAUCCGUAGCUGGUCUGAGAGGAUGACCAGUCACACUGGAACUGAGACACGGUCCAGACUCCUACGGGAGGCAGCAGUGGGGAAUUUUGGACAAUGGGGGAAAGCCUGAUCCAGCCAUGCCGCGUGUGUGAAGAAGGCCUUCGGGUUGUAAAGCACUUUUGGUAGGGAGGCGGUACCAGCAGAAUAAGCACCGGCUAACUCCGUGCCAGCAGCCGCGGUAAUAC
rnacentral:rRNA from 1 species